CCCUUUUAGAGAUGAGGACACGGAUGCUUAGACCGGAUGGUUGGCUCAGCAAAGCAGUUCUCGGGUUUAGACCCAGCUCUACAAGUCUGUCUCCACAGCUUGGGCAAGACUAGAGGGACCCGAGAAUAGCAGGAGCAAGGCGAAAAGAAAUCCUUGAGAUUCCAAAGAUUGGAUCACAAGGUCAAAGAGGACCAAGGGCCUGUGGAAUGGCAGUGUUUGUGUUGCUGUCUCUUCUGACCCUCAAUUCCCUGCAGUACAGAGAGGAAAGUAACAACUGGUGGUGGGCUCCAAAUGAAGAACUCAGCGGAAGGAAGUUGAUGCAGAAGGAUGCUGACAGGAGGCUGUACAUGCCAGCACAGAUGUCUUGUCACUGCGCUAUCACCUGCCCCUGGAAAGAGAACAAAACCAGGUCCGACAUGAUGCCAGGGUCUGGGCUGUUCUUCACUAACUUACACAUAUAUGUGUGUAAAUAUAUGCUUGCAUUCUUAUAAUCAUAUACAUAAAUGUGUAUAUGUGUACUUACAAGUCAUCCCACUGUGCAUGUGUAUAUAUACUCAUGAAAACAUACAGAAUCACAUUGUCAUGUAUAUAAACCUAUAUAUAUCCUCAUUUGUACCCACAUGUAUAUACAUGUAUACAUUGUAACCACUAUAAAUAUCACACACAAAAACAUGCCAUUUCACUUUUUAAA